rnacentral:rRNA from 1 species
GAUGAACGCUGGCGGCGUGCCUAAUACAUGCAAGUCGAGCGAACGGACGAGAAGCUUGCUUCUCUGAUGUUAGCGGCGGACGGGUGAGUAACACGUGGAUAACCUACCUAUAAGACUGGGAUAACUUCGGGAAACCGGAGCUAAUACCGGAUAAUAUUUUGAACCGCAUGGUUCAAAAGUGAAAGACGGUCUUGCUGUCACUUAUAGAUGGAUCCGCGCUGCAUUAGCUAGUUGGUAAGGUAACGGCUUACCAAGGCAACGUUGCAUAGCCGACCUGAGAGGGUGAUCGGCCACACUGGAACUGAGACACGGUCCAGACUCCUACGGGAGGCAGCAGUAGGGAAUCUUCCGCAAAGGGCGAAAGCCUGACGGAGCAACGCCGCGUGAGUGAUGAAGGUCUUCGGAUCGUAAAACUCUGUUAUUAGGGAAGAACAUAUGUGUAAGUAACUGUGCACAUCUUGACGGUACCUAAUCAGAAAGCCACGGCUAACUACGUG